ACGAACGCUGGCGGCGUGCUUAACACAUGCAAGUCGAACGCUGAAGCUUGGUGCUUGCCCUGGGUGGAUGAGUGGCGAACGGGUGAGUAAUACGUGAGUAACCUGCCCUUGACUCUGGGAUAAGCCUGGGAAACUGGGUCUAAUACUGGAUACGACAUGCCACUGCAUGGUGGUGUGUGGAAAGGGUUUUACUGGUUUUGGAUGGGCUCACGGCCUAUCAGCUUGUUGGUGGGGUAAUGGCCUACCAAGGCGACGACGGGUAGCCGGCCUGAGAGGGUGACCGGCCACACUGGGACUGAGACACGGCCCAGACUCCUACGGGAGGCAGCAGUGGGGAAUAUUGCACAAUGGGCGGAAGCCUGAUGCAGCGACGCCGCGUGAGGGAUGACGGCCUUCGGGUUGUAAACCUCUUUCAGCACGGAAGAAGCGAGAGUGACGGUACGUGCAGAAGAAGCGCCGGCUAACUACGUG
rnacentral:rRNA from 1 species